rnacentral:rRNA from 1 species
GCAUAUCAAUAAGCGGAGGAAAAGAAACUAACAAGGAUUCCCCUAGUAACGGCGAGUGAAGAGGGAAAAGCCCAAAUUUGUAAUCUGGCUCUUUUAUAAGGGUCCGAGUUGUAAUUUUGAGAACUGUUUUCUGUGCUGGACCAUGUACAAGUCUGUUGAAAAACAGCAUCAUUGAGGGUGAUAAUCCCGUAUGUGAUAUGGACUACCAGGGCAAUAUGAUACAGUCUCUAAGAGUCGAGUUGUUUGGGAAUGCAGCUCAAAGUGGGUGGUAAAUUCCAUCUAAGGCUAAAUAUAGGUGAGAGACCGAUAGCAAACAAGUACCGUGAGGGAAAGAUGAAAAGAACUUUGGAAAGAGAGUUAACAGUACGUGAAAUUGUUAAAAGGGAAACAUUUGAAGUUAGACUUGUUAUUGUUGGUUCAGCUUCUUUAUUGAGGUGUAUUCUGAUGAUUAACAGACCAGCAUCAAUUUUUGGGUGUUGGAUAAGGGUUUUGGGAAUGUGGCAGCUUCGGUUGUGUUAUAGACCAUUACUUUGAUACAAUGCUUAGGAUUGAGGAACGCAGUAAGCUUUGUUGCAGAUUUUUUCGGAAGUCUCCUUACUACGGAUGUUGGUGCAAUAGCUUUAAAUGACCCGUCUUGAAACACGGACC